AGGUAAGUUAAAUUCAAAAUUGGAAAUCAAAGAAAUACACAAUCGAAGUAUGGUUAAUCUCUAACGUAUACUCUAAAUGCACUAAAGUCCCUAUUGUAAAUUAAAUGCUAGGCAUUUUGAUCAAGUAAGCGAACGAUCGAAGGAAAAAGGAUAAUCAUACAAGCGUGCAAGUUCAAAUGAUGUCUAAGCUACGCUUAAUUCUAUUCAUUUUUUAAAUUUAUUAAAAUAUUAGCUAAAGUUUUUCUACUAAUUCAUCUUACCCCUCUACACAACGCUUGGGUUAAACAGUUAAAUCUUCGACAGGAAGCCUCGCUCAUGAAAAGCACUUU